rnacentral:tRNA from 1 species
AGGCCCCUAUUCCAAAGGCAGGAUGCCGGUCUCCAAAACCGUGCGAUGCAGGUUCGAAUCCUGCGGGGUCUGCCA